UGCGUAGGGUGCGAGCGUUAAUCGGAAUUACUGGGCGUAAAGCGUGCGCAGGCGGUUUUGUAAGCCAGAUGUGAAAGCCCCGGGCUCAACCUGGGAAUGGCAUUUGGGACUGCAAGGCUUGAGUGCGGCAGAGGAGACUGGAAUUCCUGGUGUAGCAGUGAAAUGCGUAGAUAUCAGGAGGAAUACCGAUGGCGAAGGCAGGUCUCUGGGCUGACACUGACGCUCAUGCACGAAAGCGUGGGGAGCAAACAGG
rnacentral:rRNA from 1 species